GUGGGUGUUAUGCUGAGAAAGGUACAUGCAAGGGAAGAAGAACAGAGGCUGCACCAAGCUGGGAGAAACUGCAAGCACAUGGGAAGACGGGAUACACUAAUUCCAGAGUCAUCGUUGUGAUCCUUUGUUGAACUCACUCCUGUAUGUUCAUGGUCUCACCAGUGCUGAGUAAAGGGGAAGGAUCAUAUAUCUGAUCACUGGUUCCUCCUAACUUUGCUUCCUUCAGGGAAGGCAACUUCAUUUCAGUUCUCUCUUAUUUCAGGCUUUGCAGUUUUUCUUUUUCUUUAGAAAGCUGAAGGUCUGGUGGCUGCCUGAUCUGGUGGUUGGCAACCCUGCACAUAGAAGGGGGGUUGAAACUAGAUGUUCACUGUGGUCCUUUUCAACCCAGGCCAUUCCAUGAUUCUAUGAAAAAUAUAGUCCUAUGUAAGUGUCAGUGGAAGGAAGAACAUAGUGGGAGGAGAAGCCUCCCCACACUACAACAAAAUCCUAAUCCUGGAGAAAAAAAUAAUCUAUUUUUAUAGCUGAUGGUGUAUUUCAAGGAUGCCAAGAUUUAGGGAAUUCUUCUCCUGACUUUAAACUUUUUAAUUUUUAUUUGUUCUAAAGGUUAAAAAGUGAUUGAAGGAUAAUGAAAAUAAGUGCUGAAGUAAAAACUCAUUUUUUUUGUUUUGUUUUGUUUUGUUUUUAACAGAAAGUGUCAGAAUGUUUUAAAAUCAGAAAUAAUUUUAGAGAACAAGAAAAAAAUAUUUUAAUGACAUUUUAAAAAGACUGUUUCCUUUUCACAUCAGUAAAUAUAUAUCACUGGAUUGAGAAUCUGAUUCACUUCGGAUUAUGUUAUUUUGGGGUUGUCAGUUACUCCUUGCCAAAGAAAGGUGGAUGUAUGUUGGAAAUACUGAAAUAGUAUUUGAUAACAAAUGUACUUUAAUGAAGAGGUGCCUUGGAUCCUUUUAGUUGUGUGUCUUCUUACCUUAAUACUAGUAAUUAGAAGAUUAAGGAACUGAACUCAAGGCUUCACAGCUUGAAAACAAAAAUAUGAAUUUAAUAUAUGUACUUGUUAUAAUCAAAAUGUGAUCUUGUUAAUAUAGAUGAAAGGACAGAGAAAGAAAAGCAAAUUGAUGCCUUGACAAUGUAAGAGCAUGAAAUUAAAUUUAUUAAAAGAGCAAUCAGACAAUAGUCUUCCUCUGCAUGUCAUUUUAUGUCCGUAAUUAUAUACUUCCUUUCUCUGAAUGAGUUUAUGAUGCUUUUGGGGAGAUGGUCAUCUGAUACACGCUAGAACUGUUACCAUUUUACAGAUGAGAGUGGAGUCAUGGAGUAAAUACAGUGGCCUACAUUCUGUGAAGAAUUUGCUAUAACCUCACCUUUGCUGAAUGUUUAUCAAGUUUCCCAGCUGCAAGUCAUCUUUUGUUUCAAGAAAAAAGAAAUUGUUUAUUUCCAGGAAGAGAAAAAAAUGUCAUUGUCAAGAAUAUGAGGAAAAAGGCACUCCUUCAUUUCUAUAAAAAUAGAUAUACUCGCUAUGAUUAACUGAUCUUUGAACUUUUCUGUUUGUUUGAUCAUUUUUUUAACCCAAACUAUUUUCACAUCUAAAUGUGGUCUUAUUUAAAAUUUAUUGAAAUAUGAGGGCUUAUUUUUUCAGUGAACGAGAAGAGUAAACAGGGUCUGGUCCUUAGAAAUUGCUCUCUCCCAAGAGAUAAAAUGAGCUCAUGCUUUCAUGAUGAAUUGUAAUCCUUGAGGUAUACUGUUCUGUUCUGUUGAGUGACUUCUGAUUUCUUUAGUUUGGUCUCUUAAUCUGUUUUUUUUUUUUUUUUUUUUUUUUUUUUUUUUUUUUUUUUUUUAACUGAAUAUUGAUUUCAGUUCACUGCUUUACUGGAAGUACUGUACCAAAGAUUAUCUUUCGACAGUCUCCAAGCAUGAGAUGCUUAGUAGAAGUCCCUCGUCUUACUAGAGGUUUAUAUUCUUAGAGCAGGUUUUUUCUCUUAAUACGUAGGCUAGUGCUAUGAACAGUUGUAUCUACAAAUACUUUAAUACUUUCUUAACUUUUUAGAUAACUGUCAGCAAUGAUAGUUAAGCUCAGAUGAUAAUUUCUUUAUCUUCACAUUUUCCUUCAUAUUUUUAUUUGAGUUUUUAUUAAGAUGAUUUUUAUUAGGAUAGUUUUGGAAAAGAUUUUAAUGCAUUUCUUGCUUGAAAUCCAGUGGGAAAUUGUUUUUUUUUUUUUAUUUUUUUUCUUCAGAAUAAAGUGAGGGCAGUGGACAGUGAAAAAUUAAUUAGGUAGAUUCAGCUAAGUAAUCAGGCAGACUGAUGAGUGAUUAAACAAUAAGUGUCUAAGAAAGUUUUUUAAUUAUAACAAGGUAUUUCGUUAAUCCUGGGUAAAUGAAAUUAAUUUUAACUUCUUUCAUGUCAUAUUUCUCUCUGAUGUCAUAUUUCAGAUUUGUGUUAGAGUGACUUUAUAAUGACAAGUCCUAGACUGGGACUCUAUCAACAUCUCUAAAUCAAAAGAGGAGAGAUAAGAACUUGAAGUAGCUGUGAGGAAGAAAAAAUCCACUCACUGGAGAAUGAAGGUGUUUGAUGUGGAUUUUGCUACCUAAAUCUAAUUGUGAUCUUCAAAACUUGUAACUAAUUUGUCAGGUUAUGUCUACAUGGCAGAAUGCAGUACUGCAGGAUGUCUGAGCUAUCUGUGAAUGAAUUAAUGCCAGGACUAGAAGAAAUAUGUGUGCAGUUCAGCACUUUUUUUUAUCUAAUGUAGAGUAGACUUGAAUAAUUUACAUCAGUCUACACAGCUUUGCAUUGUGCCAUGUCCACAGGUGCCUAGCACUGUUUUUAUGUAUGCCACUGCCAGUCUUAGUAUGGCAAAUGAUCUUAAUGCUUUAGGAUCCAAGAGUAUGCUUUAGGGUCUGACCUUGCCCCUGAGCAGGGGAAAAUCAGGAUUGACACUCUUCUAGGAGUGUUUUUCACUGUGUUUAUAGAAAAGGUUGUCACUGGGUUUCCUGUACCACAAUUUGAUGCAAAGAUACUUCUCUCUGGCUCUCAAGUGCUUUUGACAAUCCUUUAUUUUGGCCGUGCAGGCAUGAAGGCUGGGAUCUGUGAGCUGCAACUUUUCCAUUGCUGAACUGUCAAGAUUGAAGGAAACAGUACAACUGAAGGGACAUCAUUGUGAGACAGAAUUUCUGAGAACAUUGCCCAGAUUGUAGGUUUCUAUGUCUACCACAUGGGCAUCUGAAUCACAGAAACAGACAAGAUUAGACACAUUAAUUGUCAUAUCUGGCUCUCUGCUCAACCUGGGAGCUAAUAAAAAUGCUGUAGAGAAGUAAUUUAUAAUUAGAAGACAGUGGGAGUGUGAUAACACAUCCUCACUAUUAUUACUCUGAGUAUGUAGUCUGCAUUUCUGGAUGUGCAUGCAGCUUUGUCAUUAUCCUUAUUUUCAUUUAGAAAAUUUUGUUAGAGCAGAUUUGGGGAUUUUCAGCCUUGCUUGAAGUAUUUGGAAGUCUGCACAGAGCAAGUGUUGCAGCAACCAGACAGAGGUGAAUUGAGAAAUUUCAGUGCAUUUGUUUGUCAGGAUGAAUGAGUCCAGUAAGGAAGAGAAAAGAAGCUGGUCACACAUGAAGAAGGAUGGACAUACAUGUUAACAAAUCUUCGGGAUACCUGCUGUGUAUUAUGUCUUUGGCAAGAAUUUCUUUUCUAGAAAUCCUAGGAGUUUUGUGCAAAAAGAUGUCAAAUGCCUCUGAUACCUGUGCUGAAAGACCUUAGAAGACGCUAAGUCAGAGUAAAUGUAGUCAGUUUGGCCUAUAAGCUUCUUCUUGUGUCAGAGACUGAACUCUGGUAACAAUUGCAACUGCACAGUACUAAGUCUCCAUGACAAUGCAACUGCCUUAAAAACCUUUAAAAAAACUAGUAGCUUAUUAAGCAAAAAUACAAAUUUAUUGGGAAUGAAUAAAAUACACUUAACAUCCUUGAAAAUUCAGCUGCUAAAAAUAAAUAAAUGUUAAAAAAAAAAAAAAUAGAACACCUAAGGGUUGAUUCAGAAUUCAUGCAGAAUCCUGAAUUGAUUUGAUCAAAGAAAUAGCAGUUACUCUUCCUUCUCACAGACCUCCUCCUCCAUAGAAUGAAUGCAAAGAAUGAAUAGAAAAAUUGUCUUCUCUAAUUUGAACUUGAUAAAGCCUUGACAGAUCCAUCUGUUUCAUUCUUUGUGGGAGAUAAUACAUGGUAGUAAUUCUAACUUCAUUUAUCAUCAAAAAACAGGUGAUCUGAGCUCUACAUCAUAUAAUACAAUACACAAAAGAAUUCUACAUAUAUUGUCCUUCCUGCUCUUUGUUACUGUUUCUAUCUUUCUGGAAUUUCACAAAUCAGCAUUUCUUUCCUUCUUCUGCCACUUAUUUGAUAAUUUCUUUGUCAUGUUAGAGUUCAUUUUCUUUAUAUUGUUUGCUUUUGUGUUUUUUUCAUUUGUUUAUUUGUUUGUUUAUAUGUUUUUACAUUUCCAGUAUAAACUUCAAAUGCUUUUAAACUGUCACUUUAGUGUGGCUGUCUCUAUUAAAACCAGACAAACGUCACCAGGUUGAGAUAUAUCUAUUGUAGGAACUGGGAUUUUAUAUGAUUACAUGAAUUCUCACUUGAAAAGGAAUAAUUCUAGUUUCAAUGUUUCAUAUUUAUUAGUACCACAGGCAAAACUGAAUGUCUGUAUUGUAAAGCAGGAUAUGCAUCAGGAAGUGAUCUUUCCCAGCAUCAGAUAAAUAUUUGUUAUUUUAGAUUAAAAUAAUUUUUUAAGAUCUUUUGCAAUUAAUUCUCAAGUCAGGACUCUUCUGAGUCUUUACUCUUUGAGUAAAAUAGUUGGAUUUGUUUUGUGGUUGAGUGGUUGUGGGUUUUGUUUUGUUUCUUUUUCACCAGUUUUCUGACUGGGAAUGGACAUUACAGUAAGGAACUGAAGCAAAUGAUUUCUUUCAGCUCAGUCCCAAAGUUUAUUGCAUUAGGAAAGAAAAAAU
rnacentral:lncRNA from 1 species